GACGAACGCUGGCGGCGUGCUUAACACAUGCAAGUCGAACGGAAAGGCCCUGCUUUUGUGGGGUGCUCGAGUGGCGAACGGGUGAGUAACACGUGAGUAACCUGCCCUUGACUUUGGGAUAACUUCAGGAAACUGGGGCUAAUACCGGAUAGGAGCUCCUGCUGCAUGGUGGGGGUUGGAAAGUUUCGGCGGUUGGGGCUGGAAUCGCGGCUUAUCAGCUUGUUGGUGGGGUAGUGGCUGACCAAGGCUUUGACGGCUAGCCGGCCUGAGAGGGUGACCGGCCACAUUGGGACUGGGGUACGAGCCAGACGCCUACGGGAGGCAGCGGUGGGGAAUAGUGCACAAGGGGCGGAGGCCGGAUGGAGCAACGCCGCGUGCGGGAUGACGGCCUUCGGGGUGUAAACCGCUUUCGCCUGUGACGAAGCGUGAGGGACGGUAAUGGGUAAAGAAGCACCGGCUAACUACGU
rnacentral:rRNA from 1 species